UAUCUGUGAUGAUCCUAUCCCAAACCUGAAUUUCUGUUGGAAAAAACAUACAUGGAUGUGGCUCCUGUGAU
rfam:Otolemur garnettii contig072369, whole genome shotgun sequence.